UUAUAUUAUGAAAGUCCUGGCAGUAUAAUUAACAUUACAUAGCCAAAGUCUAGGCCUAUACUAAAUCAUGGUGUAUAAUAAAACAUACAACCUUACAACACAAGUUUAACAAGCUAACAAUAACAGGUGUUGUCAUUUAAUCUGUUCAGCCAACCACAGAUAUUCUCAAAUUACUUAAUUUGAUUGGUCACUUUAUCCAUGUUUAUCACUGAAGGCCAUGGAAAUUAACAAGGUGCUUUUGAAUGUUAUCAAUUAACUGAAAUUUGUUAGUGGUUUUAGAGCUCUUUUUCAGUGCACAUUCAUGAUGAUGAAACAGGCAGUUUAACCAUAUUUUCUGAAGUAUUUCAGCAGUACUAAUAGGUGUCCGUACGACCGUUUGAGCAUACUCAGUUUGAGUGCUUCAUUCCGUCAGCUUAUCCAUAUUACAGUAGUGUGUUUUCCAUGAUGGUUGGCCUCUUUCUAUUCAGUCUCGUGUUUUUACAUUAUAAAGAAGAACCAAAGGACAAGAAGGAGUAGAUAAAAUUUUCUUUUAAAAUCUCUUUUUAACUUCCUAGUCCUAUGAAACAAUUUCUUUCCAUAGACACAUUUUGGUUGUUUUUCUCUUCUUUUUUUUUCACUUUCAUUCCUCAUAAUAUAAAAUGUAUUGCCUAUUAUAGUUAACAUUUUAAUUCUGGACACAUGUUUAAGAUUGUAAAAUUUGCUUCUACCGUAAUUUUUAUUAGCGGAUUACAUCAAGGUGGUUACAAUUUUAUUUAGUAUUAUGACAUUCAUUAAGAUGGAAUUAACUAGCUGAAUAGAAACAUAAUUUAUUUUAAUUUGUAAAGCCUGUAAGAAAGUUUAUGAUUGGAACUUCACUAAUAAAGAUGCUGUACAGGGGGAAAA